rnacentral:misc_RNA from 1 species
AACUUUUGGCAAUGGAUCUCUUGGCUCUCCCAUCGAUGAAGAACGCAGCGAAAUGCGAUAAGUAAUGUGAAUUGCAGAAUUCAGUGAAUCAUCGAAUCUUUGAACGCACCUUGCGCCCUUUGGUAUUCCGAAGGGCAUGCCUGUUUGAGUGUCAUUAAAUUAUCAACCUUGUUCGCUUUUACGAGCUUGAGCGAGGCUUGGAUGUGAGGGCUUGCUGGCUUCCUUCAGUGGAUGGUCUGCUCCCUUUAAAUGCAUUAGUGGGAUCUCUUGUGGACCGUCACUUGGUGUGAUAAUUAUCUAUGCCAUUUGACUGUGAAGCAAAAUUAUGGGAACCUGCUUAUAACCGUCUCGCAAGGGACAAUUUAAUUGACUAUUUGACCUCAAAUCAGGUAGGACUACCCGCUGAACUUAAGCAUAUCAAUAAGCGGAGGCU